rnacentral:misc_RNA from 1 species
UCUCCGUUGGUGAACCAGCGGAGGGAUCAUUAUAGAGUUUUCUAAACUCCCAACCCAUGUGAACUUACCAUUGUUGCCUCGGCAGAAGCCACCCGGUACCUUACCUUGGUGCGGCCUACCCUGUAGCGCCUUACCCUGGAACGGGCUACCCAGUAGCGGCUGCCGGCGGACUACCAAACUCUUGUUAUUUUAUUAUCAUCUGAGCGUCUUAUUUUAAUAAGUCAAAACUUUCAACAACGGAUCUCUUGGUUCUGGCAUCGAUGAAGAACGCAGC